rnacentral:rRNA from 1 species
GACGAACGCUGGCGGCGUGCCUAACACAUGCAAGUCGAACGGAAAGGCCCUGCUUUUGUGGGGUGCUCGAGUGGCGAACGGGUGAGUAACACGUGAGUAACCUGUCCUUGACUUUGGGAUAACUUCAGGAAACUGGGGCUCAUACCGGAUAGGAGCUCCUGCUGCACGGUGGGGGUUGGAAAGUUUCGGCGGUUGGGGAUAGACUCGCGGCUUAUCAGCUUGUUGGUGGGGUAGUGGCUGACCAAGGCUUUGACGGGUAGGCGGCCUGAGAGGGGGACCGGCCACCAUGGGACUGAGGGAGGGACCAGACUCCUAUGGGAGGCAGCAGUGGGGAAUAUUGCGCAAUGGGCGGACGCCUGAUGCAGCAGCGCCGCGUGCGGGAUGACGGCCUUCGGGUGGUAAACCGCUUUCGCCUGUGACGAAGCGUGAGUGACGGUAAUGGGUAAAGAAGCACCGGCUAACUACGUG